rnacentral:rRNA from 1 species
UACGUAGGGGGCGAGCGUUGUCCGGAUUCAUUGGGCGUAAAGAGCUCGUAGGCGGCUUGGCAAGUCGGAUGUGAAAACUCCAGGCUCAACCUGGAGCCGCCAUUCGAUACUGCUAUGGCUAGAGUCCGGUAGGGGAGUGUGGAAUUCCCGGUGUAGCGGUGAAAUGCGCAGAUAUCGGGAGGAACACCAGUGGCGAAGGCGGCUCACUGGACCGGUACUGACGCUGAUGCGCGAAAGCGUGGGGAGCGAACAGG